AUGUCCCAGAGACCCCAACCUGACCACAAGAGCACCCAGCCAAAUGUCCUUCCAGCAGCUCCCACAAAUACCCAAGAGGAGACCCAAGGUUUUCAGUCCAUUCGCCACAGUCGCCGGGUCAGCAUCCAGGAACCCCUGCCCAUUAUCCAUAAUCGCCGGGUCAGCAUCCAAGAACCUCUGCCCACUAUCCACAAUCGCCGGGUCAGCAUCCAGGAACCCCUGCCCAUUAUCCAUAAUCGCCGGGUCAGCAUCCAAGAACCUCUGCCCACUAUCCACAAUCGCCGGGUCAGCAUCCAAGAGUCUCUGAUAGUCACCAGUCACUGGGCCAGUACCCAUGACACACCAUCUGUUAUCAACAGCCGCCAAGUCAGUAUUGAGAAUGCACCAGCCACUAUUAGUGGUCACCAGGCCAGUAUCCAAGGCGCACCGUCAGUUACCUACAGUCGCCGUUUCAAUACCCGAGAUGUUCCACCCAUUUUCCAAACUCCCUACAUCAACACCCAAAACUCUCCGUCAAUCACUCACACCCCAUUGUCCAAUAUGGAAUCGGUUAUCUACAAUAGCAGUCGAGCCAGUAGCAACGACAGCUGGCCAACAAGCUGGAGUCCCCACCUAAGCAUUCAAGGCCUCACAUUGCCAAACCAGGCCAGAGUCAAUGUCCCCCCUUCAAUUACUCACAGCCCCACGGUCAGUGUCAAAAGCGUUGAUUCAGUCAUCUGGACCUCCCAGGAGAUUUUCAAAGACUCUGUGAACAGCUCCCAAUUCUAUCAAAAUCCUCUAGACAAUAUCCAGAGCACACAGACAAGCAUAUCCACUGAGAUGGAUUCUGGCGGGUUUCAGAACAAGGGUAGACGCAGGCAUUCACAGCUGCCCCUGGCCUGGAAGCUGCUGCAUGGAGCCAAGAAGAUCAGCCGCCAGAUGAGCCUGGCACUGACCCUGGCUGGCAUGGUGAUCAUCAGUCUCAUCUCUCUGGGCCAGCCCUGGAUGCAUUUCCAGGUGCCACUCACACCUCCUGGGCACCCUGAUGGCUCCCUGACCAUCCACAUCAACACCAUCUUCUUUAUGCAGUGCCCUGACAUCUACUGCAUACAGGAGUACGACCAGAAUGCUUACUUGUUGGACUUCGCCUGGGCCUUUCUCAUCCUUGCCAGCAUCGCUAGCUUCUUCCUCUGCAUCAUACUUAUAAAUAUCAUCUUCUUCACCAGCUCCAACUUGCGCAUGCUGGACUUCUCCAACGUCAUCAUCAGCAUCCUGGCAGGCAUGGCUCUGAGAUUUUUCCCUAGUGCCCAUCAUGAUACCCAAUCCCCUCCACACCACAUUCUAUAUUCCAAUCCCUUCCCCAUCCUCACUUUAAUUCCCUAUCUCAAUCCAUGUCCCUCCAAAUCUCCAAUCCAUCCCAAUAAAAAAUGUGAACUUCCAAUACAACCCCAUCUCCAGCCCCAAUACCAGCUUCCACUUCGCCUCCCAUCUCUAUCACCAACAAAUCUCAAACUCAUCCAUUUCCCCUUUUGGAAUGUCCAUCCCCAUCCCAAACUGCUCUCCAACUCUAUGUAUUUUUCAAUCCUCAAACCAUCCCUAUUGCCAUCCCUAACCCCUCCAAAUCUCAAUCUCCAACUCAACCCCAUACCUAACCACCCUCGACACUUGUUCCAAACUCAACCCAACCCAAUCACCUGUGAACCUCACCUUCAAACUCAACCACAACCCAUCCCCAACUCCAUCCUCCAUCCUUCUACUUCUACCCACCUUUGUCCAAAACCCAUUUCCAGUUCCAACUGCAUCCCAAAUCCUGUCUCCCCACCAUCACCAGCUCUGUGAUUUGGUUCAAGCUACUUAAUCUUUCUGAGCCACAGUUUUCUCAUCUGUAGGAUGGGGAUAAAAUUUCCUACUACAUGGAGGUGUAGAGAGGAUUGAAUUAGAAAAUGUUGGCACUUGAUAGUAGCUAUCUAAUUUUGCCCGAGUCCUUACCAUGACCAUCCUCCCACCUGACCCAAAUUACUCAAAUUUGAGACUCUUGAUUAGAACAGGCUAGUUGAAGAAGAGAAGGAGGAGGAGGAGGAGGAGGAGGAGGAGAAUGACAAGAACAGAAGAACAAGAGGAAGAAGAGGAGGAGGAGUCUAGUUUCGCAUUUGCCUGACAAAUCUCACUUUUUAGAAAAGGAGGUGGAGCAGCACUUUAAUUUAGAAAUGAAGGAUAUUAUGUUCCUGCCAUUUAUAGUAUUGACCACAACUUUUAUUUGUAUCAAGAAAACAUUCUUGGAGAGUGAUAGCAAAGCCAAGAAUAGGAAACACUCAACUUCCUGCUUCCUUGUGUGCAAAUAGUAUUUAUCCAAUUUGUCUGGUAGCUCUUUCCAAUUGUUGAAAUAUAAGGUACAAAGGGUAGAAAACACCUGGGUUUUAUGUCAUCUAAUAUGACAUUUUUUUACAAAAAGAAACAACCAUCUCUGAUCAUUCCUUUUAAUUAAAUGAAGAACAUCUCCUAUGUUAUUUUUCAAUAACAUAACGAAAAAAAUCACCCAGAGUUUCACUACCCAAAAUUUUAAAAGUUGAAAUACCCAAAAUGAGUGGGUUUCUUGUCCACUUCUUCAGAAGCCCAAAAUUAAGGACCUGAUACAAUGGCAAUAAUCAGUCUCAAUUCUUGUGGGCUUACAGUGUGUGCCAGGAAAUGUGCCAAUCUCAACAACUUCUCAUGAUAGCCCAAGGAGAUGAGCCCUAUGGUCAUGCCCACUUUACCAGUGAGGGAAAUGAGGCUCAGAAAGAUGGAGUGGUUGCCCUAAGGCAAGAAGGAAAGGCAGGACAAGAGCUUUGGUCUGUUGGCC
rnacentral:lncRNA from 12 species